CCUAGUCGCUUCGAUAAACACAACCCACCUCUUAACGCGUUCCGAUUGCUUGUAGUCACUUGCAAUCGGCCUCCCGCGGCACCUGUGACCCGGCUCGGCUCGAACUCUCGCACGACCACCUGAACAGCCACCAAUCCGCGAUCCGUCUAUUCUGGAGUUUAUUUCCUGUUACCACGAUGCUCCAGAUCCGUUUUCAUGAUUUUUGGACGUCUAUCCCGCGUGCUGCGGCUAUCUGUACCAAAACAGACCGUUUCGUCAAUAACUUCGCGUACAUUCGUCGGAUUGUCGAACCGAGUAUUUCAUCACGUUCGUUUUAUCCCCAAUUAGAUUUAC
rnacentral:lncRNA from 1 species